rnacentral:rRNA from 1 species
AUACGGAGGGGGCUAGCGUUGUUCGGAAUUACUGGGCGUAAAGCGCACGUAGGCGGCUUGUCAAGUUGGGGGUGAAAGCCCGGAGCUCAACUCCGGAACUGCCCUCAAAACUGGCUCGCUAGAGUCCGGGAGAGGUGAGUGGAAUUCCCAGUGUAGAGGUGAAAUUCGUAGAUAUUGGGAAGAACACCAGUGGCGAAGGCGGCUCACUGGACCGGUACUGACGCUGAGGUGCGAAAGCGUGGGGAGCAAACAGGAUUAGAAACCCCGGUAGUCC